rnacentral:rRNA from 1 species
GGGUGACGAGUGGCGGACGGGUGAGUAAUGUCUGGGAAACUGCCUGAUGGAGGAUAACUACUGGAAACGGUAGCUAAUACCGCAUAACGUCGCAAGACCAAAGAGGGGGACCUUCGGGCCUCUUGCCAUCAGAUGUGCCCAGAUGGGAUUAGCUAGUAGGUGGGGUAACCUCACCUAGGCGACGAUCCCUAGCUGGUCUGAGAGGAUGACCAGCCACACUGGAACUGAGACACGGUCCAGACUCCUACGGGAGGCAGCAGUGGGGAAUAUUGCACAAUCCCCGCAAGCCUGAUGCAGCCAUGCCGCGUGUAUGAAGAACCCCUUCGGGUUGUAAAGUACUUUCAGCGGGGAGGAAGGUGWUGAGGUUAAUAACCUCRKCAAUUGACGUUACCCGCAGAAGAAGCACCGGCUAACUCCGUGCCAGCAGCCGCGGUAAUACGGAGGGUGCAAGCGUUAAUC